UAUAAUCCUUUCUUAACUCAUAAAUAAAAUGGUAAUACGUUUUAAUACAUUUUAAUUUUCGUUCUACCAUAUUGAGAAUACGCAGAUUAAAAGUUAAUUUAUUUAGUAGUUGACGAAAACUAAUCUUAUAUAUAUAUUACACCACUCCAUUUCCUGGGAAGCGGGAAUAUGUAGUGUUGGAAGAAGAGAAACCACAUACUUGUUCUAUAAUUAACCUCAUUCGUCG
rnacentral:lncRNA from 1 species